rnacentral:rRNA from 1 species
GACGUAGGGCGCGAGCGUUGUCCGGAUUUAUUGGCGUAAAGAGCUCGUAGGCGGCUCGUUGCGUCGGCUGUGAAAACCCACAGCUUAACUGUGGGCCUGCAGCCGAUACGGGCGAGCUAGAGUUCGGUAGGGGAGACUGGAAUUCCUGGUGUAGCGGUGAAAUGCGCAGAUAUCAGGAGGAACACCGGUGGCGAAGGCGGGUCUCUGGGCCGAUACUGACGCUGAGGAGCGAAAGCGUGGGGAGCGAACAGG